GCUUCAGGGCGGGGUGAAAUUCCCCACCGGCGGUAUAGUCCGCGAGCCUGCAGGUAAUAGUUCCUUAAAGGCAGAUUCGGUGAAACUCCGGAACCGACAGUAUAGUCUGGAUGGAAGAAGU
rnacentral:ncRNA from 1 species